UGAGUAAAGCGGCGCAGUCGUCCUGUUUCUGAAGCAAACAUGUCUUAGUAUGUGAACCAGACUGUAGCCAAUGAUGUAAAACAUUCACACUUUAGGUUUUACUUCAACUGGAAGGAUAUUUGCUCUACACUGAGUCGGUUAAGAGGUUUUCCUUCUUUUAAAGGUUUUCAUUUCAAU